rnacentral:lncRNA from 1 species
ACAGUAUCUACAGAACAAAGAGUCCCUAGCUUGGUCAAAGUUAACUCUUUGUCUGAAAUGAGAAGAAUUAGGCACUGUGGCCUUAUUGAAACCAGUUGAAUUUUUGUUUAUGUGGGUAUUGAAAGACACAGAGUCUUGAUUAAACUGAGAAAGGGGCUGGACUUAUCUCUGCUUCUCAUCAUUGAGGACCAUAUUGUAGACACUGUCAAGGGUAGGAGGAGGCUGCAUCAUCAAUAGGUUACUCCUUACCCCCAUGUAUGCUUCAUUAAGGCCUAUAAGGAACUGAAACACCUUAUUCUCAUCAUCUUCCUGUGUGAUGCCAUUUCUGGCAGGACAAAUGCAUCUUUGUCCAUGGUUUGCACACAUUGUUCCUAAUUCAUCCCAUAGACCUUUAAGUUUGUUAAAAUAUGAAGCUACAUCUAGAGAUCCUUGACAGGUAAGAGAG